GCGCCGUCCGCUGCCCGCCGCUGUCCUUCGGGAGGGUGAGCGGACCGCGGGGGGGUGAGAAUGUCUUUGAGAGGUAAAACACGUCAGCAUGAUUAAAAAAUCAGGCUGAUCGUUAAAAUGAUGGUUUAUAACUUGCGUUAUGGUCGCACGGGGGAUCAGGUCAGCGGUAGGUCCCCGGGGCGGGCGGCUGUCACCUCAGGUGGGUUCUGCUCCGGUGAGCCCCACCUCUGAAGGAAAAGGCUAAAAUCAAGACUCCUCUUGAAGCAGCAACGAGGCACUACCUACAGUCUGCCCUGUGGGUGCCAGUACCUGAAGACCCAGUCAGCGCAACACCUGGGAAAGAUCCCUUCCUGUCGUUCUGCUGCACAAGUAGAAGAGCUUAGUGCACAAUAAUCCUGUGUGGGUACCGCUGGAGGGGGAGGGCAGAAGAGGGACUCCUGAAGCCACUGAAGGAAGGAAAUCAUUACAGGGUUCUACAGAAGUAGGUCAUGUGCUACAGCUGCUCAUAGUUUAAGAGGAAGAAACAUGGGACCUCAAACAUGGAACAUGACUCCUUCAAAAUGCUUGAGAGCAACCCAAGAAAAACAUCCUCAGAGGCUUAUUUAAUAAACAUUAUCUAUAAUAGUCUCAAUGUGUGCUCAUGUUUCCUUAGGAGUUUGCACCUACUUCCCAGAGCUAACAAGAUUCCAAAAUAGAGCGCAGAAUAAUUUAAUGAAAAGGAUUUAAUAGUUUGUGUUAAAGCUAAUAUGGUCCAUUAGGAGCUGUCAUUUUAUAAACAAUGAAGAUAUGUUACCCUCUCUAUUACCGUAAAGCCAUUCCAAGCUGGGUUUGUAAACAGUCAGU